rnacentral:misc_RNA from 1 species
GAUGAAGAACGUAGCGAAAUGCGAUACGUAAUGUGAAUUGCAGAAUUCAGUGAAUCAUCGAGUCUUUGAACGCACAUUGCGCCCCCUGGUAUUCCGGGGGGCAUGCCUGUUCGAGCGUCAUUACAACCCUCAAGCUCUGCUUGGUGUUGGGCCCCGCCGCCCCGGCGGGCCCUAAAAUCAGUGGCGGUGCCGUCCGGCUCCGAGCGUAGUAAUUCUUCUCGCUCUGGAGGUCCGGGUGUGUGCUCGCCAGCAACCCCCAAUUUUUUUCAGGUUGACCUCGGAUCAGGUAGGGAUACCCGCUGAACUUAAGCAUAUCAAUAAGCGGAGGA